rnacentral:rRNA from 1 species
UACGGGGGGGGGCAAGCGUUUGUUCGGAAUUACUGGGCGUAAAGGGCUCGUAGGCGGCCAACUAAGUCAGACGUGAAAUCCCUCGGCUUAACCGGGGAACUGCGUCUGAUACUGGAUGGCUUGAGUUCGGGAGAGGGAUGCGGAAUUCCAGGUGUAGCGGUGAAAUGCGUAGAUAUCUGGAGGAACACCGGUGGCGAAGGCGGCAUCCUGGACCGACGACUGACGCUGAGGAGCGAAAGCCAGGGGAGCAAACGGG